UAACACACCGAUGGAGAGGCAGCU
rnacentral:misc_RNA from 1 species